rnacentral:rRNA from 1 species
UAAGUAUGUUACAGGGAUGGAGGAAAACUCGAUUCAGUAGGUUAACCUGAAGGGUGAUCAUUAACGAGUUCACGAUUCCCAAACCCCUGUGAGCAGACGGUAUUGUAGCCUCGGGGGAUCAGCCCACUCCCGGUAAAACGGGACAUCCCGCCAGAGGACCUAAACUCUAGAGUAUGUAGUGUAUCUUAGAGUAACACAAACAGUAAAUAAAAACUUUCCACAACGGAUCUCUGGGUUUUGGGGGUGAAGAAGAAGGCAGCACAAUCCGAUCAGUAAGAUGAAUUGCGGAAUUCAGUGAAUCAUAGAAUCAUUAACGCACAUUGCGCCCGCCAGUAUUCUGGCGGGCAUGCAUGUUCGAGCGUCAUUCAACACUCAAAAACCAAGAGAUGGGGUUGGGGAUGGUUUGGUUUCAAGCUAUGCGGCCCCGAAAUCUAGGGGCAGACUCAAUACAGCUUACACCUCGUAGUAGCCGCCCCUUGCAACGGGGACGGGGCGCAUCCGAAGAGUCAACGACAAGGUUGUGAACAGGCGUCUGAGAAUGGAGAAAUCCGCA